UACGUAGGGGGCAAGCGUUGUCCGGAAUCAUUGGGCGUAAAGCGCGUGUAGGCGGCUCGGUAAGUCCGCUGUGAAAGUCGGGGGCUUAACCCUCGGAUGCCGGUGGAUACUGUCGGGCUUGAGUACGGAAGAGGCGAGUGGAAUUCCUGGUGUAGCGGUGAAAUGCGCAGAUAUCAGGAGGAACACCAAUUGCGAAGGCAGCUCGCUGGGACGUUACUGACGCUGAGACGCGAAAGCGUGGGGAGCAAACAGG
rnacentral:rRNA from 1 species